AGGAUAAACCACGAUAGGUCAUGAUUUCUGGAAUGAUUCAUGGCUCAAACCUACAUGGCCCCUGGAUUGGACUGCGGCCGAUCAGGCUGUUGGUGAGGUAAUGGCCCACCAAACCUGUUACCGGUACGGGCUCUGAGAGGAGGAGCCCGGAGAUGGGCACUGAGACAAGGGCCCAGGCCCUAUGGGGCGCAGCAGGCGCGAAACCUCUGCAAUAGGCGAAAGCCUGACAGGGUUACUCUGAGUGAUUUCCGCUAAGGGAAUCUUUUGGCACCUCUAAAAAUGGUGCAGAAUAAGGGGUGGGCAAGUCUGGUGUCAGCCGCCGCGGUAAUACCAGCACCCCGAGUGGUCGGGACGAUUAUUGGGCCUAAAGCAUCCGUAGCCGGUCCUACAAGUCUUCCGUUAAAUCCAGCUGCUUAACAGAUGGGCCGCGGGAGAUACUACAGGGCUAGGAGGCGGGAGAGGCGAGCGGUACUUUAUGGGUAGGGGUAAAAUCCGCUGAUCCAUAGAAGA
rnacentral:rRNA from 1 species